AAAUUAGAGAAUUUAUUUUUAUUGAUUGAAGGAGGAAAGAAAAGACGGGACAUCCCAGAAAUCGGGUUUUCCUUGCCCAGGGCUGCCUUAAAUGCGGUAGUGUUCAAUAAGAGGAAGUGGCGUCGUCGCUUUGUUACAUCGUUGGUGAGAAGCGAAAUCGAACGGUUUUCGGGGGCUUUCAAUGUAGAACCCCGAUCAUCCUUUUCCCCAUCUGUUUUGUUCUUCUCAGUUAAUAGUGUCCAGUGGAAUUUCUUCUUGUAUAUGAUGCUUUGUUCUGCAUUUACGACUCACAUACAAACGUGGCUACGUGAUUAUGACAGGAUUCAAUCCUUCGCAGUUAUUCUCAUCUAUGUUCAGAUCGGCUGUGCACUGAUUGGAUCUCUUGGGGCAUUAUACAACGGUGUUUCAUUAAUCAAUUUGGGUAUUGGGUUAUUCGCAUUGGUGGCUAUUGAGAGUAGCAGUCAGAGUCUUGGUAGAACAUACGCUGUACUUCUCUUCUCUGCAAUCUUAGUGGACAUUUCUUGGUUCAUCCUUUUUGCAUCCGAAAUUUGGAAUAUUUCUUCUGGGAUUUAUGGAACCCUUGUUAUCUUCUCGGUGAAACUCACUCUCUCCAUGCAAAUUAUUGGAUUUUGUGUGAGAUUAUCAUCUUCACUAUUGUGGAUUCAAAUGUAUAAGCUCGGUGUUUCUUAUAUGGACUGUUCAGUUCCCCGAGAGGCAGAUAGUGAUAUGAGAAACAGUUUUCUCAAUCCUGCAACUCCUCUUACUAGACAGCCAUCCAAUUCUGAUGAUGCUCUAGGUGGUUCUGUAUACGAUCCUGCAUAUUAUUCCUCCUUGUUCGAAGAUGGUAAAGACGAAACAUAUUUUUGCAGGGGUAGUCAAAAUAAUGGCUUUGUGAUUGGAUCACCUUCUAUGGCGAAAACAAUUUAAUUUAAGCCAUCAAUGAGCAGAUCUAUCCGCAUCACCGACGGAAAUCCGUAGCCGCUACCCUUUGGUGCGCACAUGGUAAAACAUCCGCUCCUAUGCAAUAGCUCGUAAACCACGUAGGAGAGGUAACUCGCACUAGGCAAGCCUGGUGCAACGAGCUCGACCCAGAAGGCAAACCUCAUGGUUUCGCUGAAAAAGACGGACUUGGAAUUAUUUUUCAUUUCGAAGGCAUAACAUGAUCUUGUAGAACUUACCAACAAGGAUGACGGUGCUGCAAGUAGUCCCCAGCAUGUCUAAACUUGGUUGUUUUACAAUGAGCAUUUUGGGAACGUCGAUUCUCCAUUUUUUAUUUGGAGAUGUAGUUUUUAAACUCAAUUCAGCAGGUUUGUGUAUGGUAGUGAGCUCUGUACAGUAACCGAAUGGUAGUAUUCUUUUGCAAGAUAAUACAAAUGAUAAACCUUGUGUUUACUCUUGUAAAGAUAUUCUGGCAAUGAAAUUUUAAUCUUACGAGUAAAUCUUGUUGAAGAUGUCCAA